UACGUAGGGCGCGAGCGUUGUCCGGAAUUAUUGGGCGUAAAGAGCUCGUAGGCGGCUUGUCACGUCGGGUGUGAAAGCCCGGGGCUUAACCCCGGGUCUGCAUUCGAUACGGGCAGGCUAGAGUUCGGUAGGGGAGAUCGGAAUUCCUGGUGUAGCGGUGAAAUGCGCAGAUAUCAGGAGGAACACCGGUGGCGAAGGCGGAUCUCUGGGCCGAUACUGACGCUGAGGAGCGAAAGCGUGGGGAGCGAACAGG
rnacentral:rRNA from 1 species